rnacentral:rRNA from 1 species
UACGUAGGUGGCAAGCGUUGUCCGGAUUUACUGGGCGUAAAGAGCGCGCAGGCGGUUGUGCAAGUCGCGUGUGAAAGCCCCCGGCUCAACUGGGGAGGGUCUCGCGAUACUGGCGGACUUGAGGGAGGCAGAGGAGUAUGGAAUUCCCGGUGUAGUGGUGAUAUGCGUAGAUAUCGGGAGGAACACCAGUGGCGAAGGCGGUACUCUGGGCCUUACCUGACGCUGAGACGCGAAAGCGUGGGGAGCGAACCGG